CAGGAGGCAGCUACACCGGGGUAUUCGGGUGGACUCCAGAGAUGCCGCUGCUGCUGGGCCACUUUCUGGAAGAGUUGCUCGAUCCUGCUGUUCUGGGCCCUGAUCUGCGUCUGCGAGGAGAAAUGGAAGCCUGGGUGACCUCGCUCUCCUUCCUCCCCCUAAAGGCCCUCGCGCACUGACGUUGCCAGACGCGGCUGGGGUCCCCGGGGGCCCACAUUCCCAGCUCCCCCACCGGCAUUCGUCCUGAUCGAUGUUUCCUGAGCUCUGCCCCACUCUGCUCCCCCCACC